GUUUUUAUAAUUGUUUUUUAUAAUUUUUAUAAUUAUUUUUUAUAAUUUCCUUGUAAAGAUCACUGAUUUUAAGCCUUCUUUUCCAAUAAUGUGUAUGUAAAGCUAUACAUUUUCCUCUUACUAUAUAACUUUAGCUGGAUCCUACAACUUUUGUAUGCCAUAAUUUCAUUUUAAAGUAUUUUCUGAUUUUAGUUGUAAUUUUUCUUAGUUUAUUAAUUUUUAUUAGUUGUAAUUUUUAUUAGAGUUGUGUAUAUUAUUUGAUUUUGAAACAUUUAGGAGCUAUCUAGAUUUGUGCGGGGUUUUGUUAGGGAGGGACUUUUUGCUAUUAAUUUUUAGCUUAAUUUCAUAGUGGUCAACACACUCAUUGGGGUUUUUAUAAUAUUUUUUAAUUUUUAUUUUUAUUAGUACAUGUUUAGAGUACCUAAUGACUACAUUAAUCAUGGGUACUUGGUACAUGUACAUGAUACAUUUUAAUUCUUUUUAUUUUCCUUUCCCUUCUCUUCCCUUCCUCCUCCCUCCAAUUAUAGAUCCCUUCUCAUUUGCAAAAGAUCUGUCUUCCUGUUUCCUAUUAUCUUUCACAGUGCCCUUUAAAUUAUUUAUAUUUGGGGUUUCUCAUAUAAACAAAUCAUGUGAUAUUUAAGCUUGUGUGUCUGAUUUAGUUCACUUAACAUUAUGAUCUCAAGUACAUCCAUUUUCUUACAAAUAACUCAAAUUUAUCCUAUGUGGCAGAAUAGUACUCCACUCUGUGUAAAUACCACAUGUUCUUUAUCCAGUCAUCUGUUGAUGAACAUAUAGGCCACUUCCAAGAUUAUCUAUUAUGAGUUAUGCUGCUGUAAACAUGUGUAUGCAUAUAUCACUGUAAUUGAUAUCUAUUGCUCUUUCAGGAAGAUAGCUUAUAUAUAUUAGUGCUGGAGCUCAAACUCAAUGCCUUGAGCAUGGUAAGCAAAAUGCUCUAUCAUUGAGCUACAUUCCAGCCCUUUGUUGUUUUUUUAAAAGUAGGAAAAAUUUAUUGAGAGAAAGAUUACUUCUGCCUAAGAGAGACAGAAGGGGAACCGGAAAGUGGUUGCCUGCCCAUGCUGCUUCUCAAAGGUGUUUUAUGGAACAAAGCCACAAGCACCUUGAAGACAUUCUAUUUUCUUCUGGUUUCUGGAACAGGUACUUCUUGACUUAUGAUGGGGUUACACUCUGCUAAAUCUGUGUCAAUUAAAAAUACCAUGAGUCAAAAUGCAUACCAUAGUUAUACCUAACUGACUAAACAUCAUCACUUACCAACACAGUAUGCUGUAGGCUAUCCAUUGUUUAUCUUUGUGAUCCUAUGGCUGAUGGAGCUACAGGUUGCUGGAAACUAUAAUGUUAGGUGAAAUAAAUCAGACACACAAGCUUAACCAUUACAUGGUGUCUUUUAUAUGAGAAACCCAAAGUGUAAAUAACAAAAUAAAAGAUAGAUAAUAGGAAGUAGGGAGGUAGAUCUUUCUCAAAUGGGAAGAGGAUUAAGAGAUGGAGGGAUGGCGUGAAAGAGAGAAAAAGGGUGGUGAAAAAAGGAAUUUAAGAGAUGUUAUAUACAUGUACCAACACCACACAAGGAUUGCAAACAUUAUGUACUACAAACAAGUACACAAAAAAACAAAGAAGGGGAUCAAGAAAAAGAUGGAGGAAAAGGGAUUUUAAAAAGGAAGAUAUAUUAUAUGCAUAUACCAAUUCCCUACAAGAAAUGUAAACAUUAUAUACUGCAAACAUGUACAGUACUAAUAAAAAUGUAUAUUGGACCACAUGUCACUAGCCUGAGAGAAGACUGAAAUUCAAAAUAGUUUCUACUGAAUGCCUGUUGAUUUCACACCAUUUAAAGUUUCAAAAUGUUAAGUGAAAAGAUUUUAAAUUGGGAACCAUCUGUGUUUCUUUGAGAAGUCAAUUUUCAGUCAUAAUACUGCCCUAUUAAAAGAAAUUCAUCUUUCUCUGCCUGUUUUUCACAUUUACCUUUUGUCUUUACUUUUUAGCAGUUUUAGUAUGAUAGGGCUAGGUGUGAUUUUCUUUUCAUCUCUUGAGCUCUGUGGUACUUAUUGAAUGUAUGACUUGAUAAUUUUUUGUCAGUUUUGGUUAGUACUAGGCCAUUAUUUCUUCAGUUAUUGCUUCUGCUGCUGUCUUUCUUUUCUGAAUUUCCACUACCCAUAUGUUAAAUCCUUUUACUCUGCUCCAUUUAUCUCUCGUGCUAUUCUCUUAAUGCCUCUGUCUGGUUGCUUUCUACUGAUCUAUGAACCGGUUUACUAAACUUCAAAGCUAGCUAAACCCUUUUAAAGUUUGGAUCUGGAACACCCCCUGAAGGCCCAUGUGUGCCUUUGUCCCCAGAGUGAUGCUAAUGGACGAUGUGGCACCUUUGAGGAGUGGAACCCUUAAAGAGUACUAGGGAACCCUAGUCUCUGUCCCCCUUCUUUCUCUUUUUUAUGUUCCAGUCUCUAUGUGAGCAGCUUUGCUCUGCCACACACUCCUUGCCAUGAAGCAUGGCCUCAUCACAGGCCCCAAAACAGCAGGGCUGACUAGUCACAGACUGAAACCUCCAAAACCGUGAACUAAAAUAGACGUUUUUGUCUUUAUCAAUUAAUUGCCUUAGGUACUUGAUUAAAACAGCAGAAAGCUAAGCCACAUAAACUUCUCUGUUUAUUACAUUGUUUUCUUUUCUUUUGAAAUAGAGUCUCUCUAUGUUGUCCAGGCUGCCCUCAAGAUCACCAUCCUCCUGCUUCAGCCUCUCAAGUGCUGAGAUUAUUUGCAUGUGCAAUUCCACCCAGCUGUAAGUUCUUAAUUCUAGUUAUAUUUUUCAAUUCUUGCUUCUAUUCUGGUGACUUUUAUUCUAUAGAAUUUCUUUAGAAUAUGUUCUAGAACAUACCAAUCAGAGUUUUCAGUAUCCUAAUACCUGGGAAAAAAUUUUUCCCUUGUUUGUUGUGCCAUUGAAAUUUGAAUACUGUUGUUCUGGGGAAAUUUUUAUCAAAUGCACAAUACUGUAAUGAAAAGAGUAGAGAAUAUUUGGGGCUUAGGUGAUAAUGCCCUUCUCCAGCCAGGAUUUACUUUUGUUUCUGGCAGGCAGGUAAGGAAGGAAAGUACAUCUUAAUCUAUCUGGGAUCAGGCUGAAUUUAUAGCUGCGUUCGAUGUCUAUUAAGGCUGGCAUGCAUCUUGUUUAUUCUUACUCUUUAGACUAUAGCCUCUUGAGGUGCAGUAGCUUUGGUCUUUUGGGUGGUUCUCUGUACUUCCUCUAUUCCUGCAGGUGUCCCAGAAGUCUAGAGUGUUUACUAGGGCCUUGUUUGGCUAGCCCUGAACUGGUUUUGUCCCUCAAGCCCCAUGAAGCCACCUAAAACUCUGCUGAACUUCUUUUAAAAAGUUUUAUUUUUUGAUUGGCGUAUAAUAAUUAUAUACAUUUAUGGUGUACAAUAUAUAUAUAUUUAAAUAAGACCUCAAAACGACUGCAAAUAGCCUCAUUAAAAAUAGGCAAAAGAGCUAGAUAGACAACUCUGCUCAACUUAUUAGCUGUUAGGUUGCCACUCCCAAAUCAGUCAGCAUCUGAGAAGACUGGAGAGGAUAUGCGGAACAUGAAGUCACCUCGGCACCUUUCUUCUCCCUGAAACGGAGAGACAACAAAUCUGAUACAAAGCAGUUCAUGCCGCCAGAAGAACAGAAAUAGAAGAAGUACAAUGGACCACCAAAAAGACCAAAGCCACUGCACCUCAAGAACCUGUUUUAGCCUACCUGUGUGGAGCAACGCAGAGUUGUCUCACCCUCCAAUUGCCUGGUGUCUGCAUUGAGCUCCAAGAGCAGUCAGCGUGGAUGACUGCUAGAUAGGAUUCCUGGCACAUGACAAGAGAACUUGGUGGAUGAAGUCCAUGCAGUCAGCUCCUUCUCACCAGACAGAUCUCAGCCCAAAGGCCCCUCCUGAGAGCAGCCACCCUGGACUCCUCUCUGUCUCUGGUCCUCCCUCAUGUACCUCCUCUAACACAGUCUGAAACAACCUCUCUUAUUCAACAGGUUAUUCAUCUAAUGAAUGUAACCCUCGCACGGCACCAUGACCCCUGCCACUGCCACAUAAAAACAAGGACCUUGACCUUUUCAUUCCCACAGUAUGUAUUCAGGUGCCUCCUAUAGUGCCUGACACACUCAGGCAUGCCACACUGAUUUGUUGCAUAAAUGAACAAAAAACUAAACAAAUGAUAAAAUCACAAAAGAGUACAUACAGAAGCACGCAAAGGUAAAAAUCCUACGAGGACCAUCUUUCUCACAAGGUCUUGGCAAACAGCACAGUCCUUCUUUUCUUCACUCUUUCUCUCCUCUCAGCUCUACCACCUUCCCCACACUCUGACCACUGUCACAUCUUCCAGAUCCUACCUUUUUCCUCAAAAAUUUCACCCAUCUCCACAACAAGCUCAUCACUUUGUCCAUUCUUAGGGAAUUGAUCAAUGCCUUCAGUGUCUUCCAGGCAGGCACCAUGGCUUUCUUUGCUCUGUCUGAGCUGCUAGAGAGGGAAGUGGUCAGAGUAGAGUCCCACAAAUGAGGGUGAAUAUAACUGUCCCAACUCCAAUUGAGUCCCUGUCCACACAGCUGUUUCUCUGUACUAAGAGAUAAUUUUCCUGGCUCUGUAGAGUCCAAGCUCCUGUGUAGCGAAAGCUUCUCAUUUCUUUUGUGAGCAUGAUCUGUGCCAGACCUUUAAGAACAAUCCUUUCUUAUUCACCAUUCAACCUUGGUGCUAUUUCAAAAGACAGUACAUUUGACAUUCACUGUAUUUCUAAAGGAUGGCACCAGCUUCCCCAAGUCAGUUUCCCUAGCUCUCUGACUCUAGUUUUCUGAUAAAAGGUAAAGAGGGCCUGCUGGCCCAUUCUACCACUUGUAGCCAGUGUCAGGCCUCAGGACUAGAGUGUGCUGCUGCCUCGGUCCUUCCACUGACAUUGCAUGGUCAGUCUCCACUUUUGAAACUUUUUUUAUCUCUUCCAUGAUGUCUCAUUGCUGUGAGGACAAAAUGCAAUCCUCUGAGGAAUCUGGAUGCCUGCCUCUUCAGCCUUUUCUCACCUACGCCUCCAGCCAAGCUUUACCAAGCUUUUUUAAUUUCCUCAAAAGCAUUCAGUCUGAUUUCAUUUAGGAGCCAUUGCAAAGAGCAUCCACCUUACCUCAGCUGACUUUCUUCUCAUCCUUCAGAACUGUUUAUUGGCCCCUUUCUCACAAAGUAUGCCCUUCCCCCAGGAUGUACUGAGAACCUGAGAACCACCCAGAAUAAGCUUAUUAUAAUAAAUUAUAAUAAUCUGUUAACAGAUCUACCUCCCCAGCUAGGCCACAGUGAUGGGGGGGGGUCAUCAAUGUUUUUUGUUCAUUAAUGUAUUGACUUGUUUGUGUCUGUCUCCCUCAACGGUAAUGACCUUGAUGAAAUCAGGAACAAUAUUUUUUGUCCACUGUUAUAUUCUCAAUGUGCAGCAGAGCAGCUGGCACAUAGUAGGGCCAAAGUUCAACACAGCCCCAUUUUUAUCUCAUCACCACCUAACUUCCACUGAACACUUUGUGUGAGUUGGCUCUGUGAUAAGCAUUUAUAGACUAAGUCAUUUAAUUCUCACAGUCAAUGUAUGAGAUAGGCAUAGUAGUCCCCCUUUAUCCACAGGGAACACAUUCUAAGACCUGCAAUGGAUGCCUG
ensembl:lncRNA